GGUUGUAUAGUGUAGCGGUUAUCACUCCGGAUUCUGAAUCGCCUCAGAACAUUCCGGCAACCCCGGUUCGAUUCCGGGUACGACCU